UACGAAGGGGGCUAGCGCUGCUCGGAAUCACUGGGCGUAAAGGGUGCGUAGGCGGGUCUUUAAGUCAGGGGUGAAAUCCUGGAGCUCAACUCCAGAACUGCCUUUGAUACUGAGGAUCUUGAGUUCGGGAGAGGUGAGUGGAACUGCGAGUGUAGAGGUGAAAUUCGUAGAUAUGGGGAGGAACACCCGUGGCGAAGGCGGCGUGCUGGGUUGCAACGUGACGCUGAGAUGCGAAAGUGUGGGGGGCAAACGGGG
rnacentral:rRNA from 1 species